rnacentral:rRNA from 1 species
GGCUUAAACAUGGCAAGUCGAGGGGCAGCAUUGGAGUAGCAAUACUUCAGAUGGCGACCGGCGCACGGGUGAGUAACACGUAUCCAACCUGCCGCUUACUCGGGGAUAGCCUUUCGAAAGAAAGAUUAAUACCCGAUGGUAUAAAGAGUUCGCAUGUUCUCUUUAUUAAAGAAUUUCGGUAAGCGAUGGGGAUGCGUUCCAUUAGAUAGUUGGCGGGGUAACGGCCCACCAAGUCUACGAUGGAUAGGGGUUCUGAGAGGAAGGUCCCCCACAUUGGAACUGAGACACGGUCCAAACUCCUACGGGAGGCAGCAGUGAGGAAUAUUGGUCAAUGGACGAGAGUCUGAACCAGCCAAGUAGCGUGAAGGAUGACUGCCCUAUGGGUUGUAAACUUCUUUUAUAAGGGAAUAAAGUGAGGGACGUGUCCCUUUUUGUAUGUACCUUAUGAAUAAGGAUCGGCUAACUCCGUGCCAGCAGCCGCGGUAAUACGGAGGAUCCGAGCGUUAUCCGGAUUUAUUGGGUUUAAAGGGAGCGUAGGUUGACGUAUAAGUCAGCUGUGAAAGUUUACGGCUCAACCGUGAAAUUGCAGUUGAUACUGUAUGUCUUGAGUGUACAAGAGGUGGGCGGAAUUCGUGGUGUAGCGGUGAAAUGCUUAGAUAUCACGAAGAACUCCAAUUGCGAAGGCAGCUCACUGGGGUACAACUGACACUGAGGCUCGAAAGUGUGGGUAUCAAACAGGAUUAGAUACCCUGGUAGUCCACACAGUAAACGAUGAAUACUCGCUGUUUGCGAUAUACAGUAAGCGGCCCAAGCGAAGCAUUAAGUAUUCCCCCUGGGGAGUACGCCCG